rnacentral:rRNA from 1 species
GACGAACGCUGGCGGCGUGCUUAACACAUGCAAGUCGAACGGAAAGGCCCUGCUUUUGUGGGGUGCUCGAGUGGCGAACGGGUGAGUAACACGUGAGUAACCUGCCCUUGACUUUGGGAUAACUUCAGGAAACUGGGGCUAAUACCGGAUAGGAGCUCCUGCUGCAUGGUGGGGGUUGGAAAGUUUCGGCGGUUGGGGAUGGACUCGCGGCUUAUCAGCUUGUUGGUGGGGUAGUGGCUUACCAAGGCUUUGACGGGUAGCCGGCCUGAGAGGGUGACCGGCCACAUUGGGACUGAGAUACGGCCCAGACUCCUACGGGAGGCAGAAGUGGGAAAUAUUGCACAAUGGGCGGAAGCCUGAUGCAGCAACGCCGCGUGCGUGAUGACGGCCUUCGGGUUGUAAACCGCUUUCGCCUGUGACGAAGCGUGAGUGACGGUAAUGGGUAAAGAAGCACCGGCUAACUACGUG